AGAGUUUGAUCAUGGCUCAGAACGAACGCUGGCGGCAGGCCUAACACAUGCAAGUCGAACGGAUGUAGCAAUACAUUAGUGGCGCACGGGAGAGUAACGCGUGGGAACCUACCUUUUGGUUUGGGAUAACGUCGGGAAACUGACGCUAAUACCAGAUAAGCCCUCCGGGGGAAAGAUUUAUCGCCGAUAGAUGGGCCCGCGUUAGAUUAGCUAGUUGGUGAGGUAAUGGCUCACCAAGGCGACGAUCUAUAACUGGUCUGAGAGGAUGACCAGUCUCACUGGGACUGAGACACGGCCCAGACUCCUACGGGAGGCAGCAGUGGGGAAUAUUGGACAAUGGGGGCAACCCUGAUCCAGCCAUGCCGCGUGAACGAUGAAGGCCUUCGGGUUGUAAAGUUCUUUUGGUGGGGACGAUGAUGACGGUACCCACAGAAUAAGCACCGGCUAACUUCGUGCCAGCAGCCGCGGUAAUACGAAGGGUGCUAGCGUUGUUCGGAAUUACUGGGCGUAAAGGGCGCGUAGGCGGUUUAACAAGUUGGGUGUGAAAGCCCAGGGCUCAACCCUGGAACUGCACUCAAGACUGUUUUACUUGAAUUCGGUAGAGGUUGGUGGAAUUCCCAGUGUAGAGGUGAAAUUCGUAGAUAUUGGGAAGAAUAUCCGUGGCGAAGGCGGCCAACUGGACCGACAUUGACGCUGANGCGCGAAAGCGUGGGGAUCAAACAGGAUUAGAUACCCUGGUAGUCCACGCUGUAAACGAUGCAUGCUAGACGUUGGAAACCUCAGGUUUCU
rnacentral:rRNA from 1 species